GAGUUUGAUCAUGGCUCAGGAUGAACGCUGGCGGCGUGCCUAAUACAUGCAAGUCGAGCGAACGGACGAGAAGCUUGCUUCUCUGAUGUUAGCGGCGGACGGGUGAGUAACACGUGGAUAACCUACCUAUAAGACUGGGAUAACUUCGGGAAACCGGAGCUAAUACCGGAUGAUAUUUUGAACCGCAUGGUUCAAAAGUGAAAGACGGUCUUGCUGUCACUUAUAGAUGGAUCCGCGCUGCAUUAGCUAGUUGGUAAGGUAACGGCUUACCAAGGCAACGAUGCAUAGCGACCUGACGAGGGUGAUCGGCCACACUGGAACUGAGACACGGUCCAGACUCCUACGGGAGGCAGCAGUAGGGAAUCUUCGCAAUGGGCGAAAGCCUGACGGAGCAACGCCGCGUGAGUGAUGAAGGUCUUCGGAUCGUAAAACUCUGUUAUUA
rnacentral:rRNA from 1 species